rnacentral:rRNA from 1 species
GACGAACGCUGGCGGCGUGCUUAACACAUGCAAGUCGAACGGAAGGCCCUGCUUUUGUGGGGUGCUCGAGUGGCGAACGGGUGAGUAACACGUGAGUAACCUGCCCUUGACUUUGGGAUAACUUCAGGAAACUGGGGCUAAUACCGGAUAGGAGCUCCUGCUGCAUGGUGGGGGGUGGAAAGGUUCGGCGGUUGGGGAUGGACUCGCGGCUUAUCAGCUUGUUGGUGGGGUAGUGGCUUACCAAGGCUUUGACGGGUAGCCGGCCUGAGAGGGUGACCGGCCACAUUGGGACUGAGAUACGGCCCAGACUCCUACGGGAGGCAGCAGUGGGGAAUAUUGCACAAUGGGCGGAAGCCUGAUGCAGCAACGCCGCGUGCGGGAUGACGGCCUUCGGGUUGUAAACCGCUUUCGCCUGUGACGAAGCGUGAGUGACGGUAAUGGGUAAAGAAGCACCGGCUAACUACGUG